CUAGAGGGACUUCUACGUGAUGAGAUCUAUGCUCAUCCGCCCGUAGGGGUGAGUUUAGAUAAUUGGAAGCAUUUGAUCGAUGUGGCAUGGCAAGAUGCAUCUCACCAGAAACGGUCAAAAGCUGGCAAGAGUAAUAGGAGUCAAUUGCCGUACAAUCAUACCAAUGGGUCUCGCUCAUUUCCUAUCGCAAUGGCUACUAUGGU